ensembl:lncRNA
GUGCUCAGGUUAAAUCUUAUUUAACCACCAAAGCUUUAAAAGUUUGUUAACCAUUUCAUUAAACAUAUUCAAAAUAUACACUAGUUUUCUGCCUCCUGAGCAGUCUUAGGUUGAUCGUUAUAGUGAUCUGUUUUUAUACUGGGUCUCUUAAAACAAUGCCCUUAGGGUCUUGACUUGGUGUUCACUGACCUCAGAUUAAAGCCCUUUUCAUAUUUAGCCCUCCUAAAUGUAUAUUUUUUAGUCAAAGCAAUAUUAUGUGCUCCUUGUUGAUAAAAAGGACUUAGAUUAUCCCUAGCUUUUUGCACUCAUCUGUUUACAGAUUGCAAGGCCACAGGCCUACUCUAUGAUUCUUUUGUGUUUUCUUCUUCUGAUGGGUUUUUUUCCUCCAUAUCUCUAAAUGUUGGUCUUAUAGUAUUUUAUGCAGUAGAUUUGAUCUUUAUAUUCUUUACCUUUCUGUCUAUGAUAGGUGAGGGUUUAACUCAUCUCACCUCUUUUUUUAUCAUUUAUUUAUAUAUAUUUUUUUUCUACUGUACAGCAUGGUGAUCCAGUUACACAUACAUGUAUACAUUCUUUUUUUCUCACAUUACGUGUUCCAUCGUAAGUGACUAGACACAGUUCCCAGUGCUACACAGUAGGAUCCCAUUGCUAAUCCAUCCCGAAGAUUAACAUUCAGAAAUCAGUCUCAUUUCUGUAUAUUAACAAUGAAUUAUUAGAAAAGGAAUACUAAAAUACAAUGCCUUUUAAAAUUGCACACCAAAAAAACAAAUAGCUGGGAAUACCCCUGACCAAGGAGGUGAAAGACUUAUAUGCCUAAUACUAUAGAACAUUAAUCAAGGAAAUUAAAGAAGAUGUAAAGAAAUGGAAAGCUAUUCCAUGCUCCUGGGUUGGAAAAAUUAAUAUUAUAAAAAUGGCCAUACUACCCAAAGCAAUCUAUAGAUUCAAUACAAUCCCUAUCAAAUGAAACUAGAACACACCCUCACACCAUGCACCAAAAUAAACUCAAAAUGGCUGAAAGACUUAAAUAUAAAACAAGACACCAUCAAACUCCUAGAAGAGAACACAGGCAAAACAUUCUCUGACAUCAACCUUACAAAUGUUUUCUCAUCUCACCUCUUAAUCAUUUUUUUUUUUCCUUUUAUGGCUGCACAUGCGGCAUAUGGAAAUUCCUAGUCUAUGGGUCGAAUUGGAACUGCAGCUUCUGGCCUAUGCCACAGCCACAGCCAUGCCAGAUCCGAGCUGCAUCUGCCACAUGUGCUGCAGCUUGUGGCAGUGCCAGAUCCUUAACCCACUGAGCGAGGCCAGGGAUUGAACCUGCAUCUUCACAGACAACAUUGGGUAAUUAAUCUGCUGAGCCACAAUGGGAACUUCUCUCCCUUUACCAUAGCUUUUUAUAGCUUCCCUCUUUUAUUACUGUAACAGUAAGUAGCAUUAUUCUAUAUCCUCUUAUAACCAUAAGUAAUGUCUCUUGAAUCCCUACAUUGAAGGUUAUUAGUAAGUACACCCUUCCUGUCACCUUUUCUCCUUUCCUUUUACCUUACAAAUCCUGUUACCCACACUUCUGUAUUGUCGUAGUUGAUAGCACUUCACAUUCUAUGCUGUAACCAUCAUUACAUCUGUGCUCUGUCUGUAGGCUGACUUAACUGUUUUUGCAUAAAUGGCAUCAACUGCCAGUAUAUAUUUUGAUUAUGGUUCCAUUUCUACAAUGCUGUCGUUGAUGACUCCUACCCCAUGCAAAAGAAAACGUUCAAAAUAAUUAACAUUCCUGUCACCAGUUACUCAAGAUUCUAGUACAAUUUAAUUUUCUUAUUUUGACCUUGCCUAAAAUAAUUAUCAAUCAAUAAUUAAAAUAAUUAAUUUAAUUAUCAAUCAUCACCAAAAAUCAAGAUUAUAAUCCAGUUGGAUUUUCUUAUUUAGACCUUGCCUUUUAUAUUUGUUUUGUUGUCACUUUUCCUGUUGUGGGACCUAAUAUGUCAUAGUACCUUCCAAUUCUUUCUUUCUUUGAUGAUUGUUUAGAAUCUGCUCUUUUUCUUGAAGUCCAAUGAGAUUCCUAUUGGGAGUAGUAUUUCAUACCUUCAUAGUUGGAUCAUAGCUUUCUUUCACAUCUUCUACCUUUCUUAUUGGACCCUGUUUCUAGUUGCCCUUUUUCCUUUCUUAUAGUGCUUCUAUCAUAUCUCAAGUUUUCUCAUUUUUUCUCUUCAUGUUACCUUUCUUAUCAGUUAUAUCCUAAGGUAAUUUCAUAUUCCUUACAUUUUUUCAAACAUGUUUAUUUCAAACUUAAUCAAUUGUUUGUCUUGAAUACAUUUCAAGAUUGGAAAUAACAUUCCCUCAAAAUUCUGAAGGCAUUGUUCUCUUAUAUGCCAGCAUCUAGUGCUGUUUCUACCAGUCCAAUCCCAAUCUCAUUGUUUACCUUUGUUAUGUAUUUUUUUCUCUGAACAUUUUUAGGAUCUUCUUUUUAUCCAUAAUGUUCUAAAUUAUCACAAUAUGUCUAAGUGUUGGUCUUUUCUUAUUCAUCUUAUUCAGAACCUGGGAAGUAAUUUUAAUUUCAAUAGUCUCCUUUACUUGUAUUAUGUUUGCAGAAAUAUUCCCUUUGUCUCUUCUCUUUCUGGGGCUCCUUUUGUUUGAAAGUUGAAUUUAUUGAAUUAUAUAUCCUGGUACCUUUUUCCUUCCUCCCCCCAAUAUAGUCUACCUGUGUCUUUUUUGUUCUGUGAAUUUUAUUUAACUUUAUCUUCUGCUACUAAUUUGAGAAAUCAUAUUUUCCAUUUCUAAAUACUCUUUUACUUUCUUUGUUCUUUUUUUAUGUGACAUUGUUAUUUUUUUGGGGGGAAUACCAUUGAGAAAAGCAGUCUGCCAUGGGCUCUGAUCAUCCUGCAUGUUCUUACUGGGCAUGCCAAGAAUGCAAAGGGUUUGGUGUGCAUUGACAAGCCUAAAGGUGUGAUAUUCUUUCAUUGAACAAAGAACGAGGCUUGUUAUCACAUACUAUGAAAACAGUAAGUCUCUCAAACUCAGUAUUGCUCCCCUGUAGCACUGUCAGCUGUGUGUGCAGGCAUCCAGGAAGGAUCUUUUGUGUCACCCCAUGAGAUUUGGGGGCAUAGGGAUCUGAUACAAACAAACAUGAGGUAAUAAAUUCCUUUGUUUCUGACCCUGGAGUCUCAUGCCUUCCGCCAGCAUCCAUGGAAGAGUAACAGGCUAGCUAGUUAGCAAGAUGAAAUCUUGGACCCAGCAUCUCUACUGCUUUUAAUCCAGUAUGUUUCUGAGCUUUUUUCUACCCUGCCAUUGUCUUUGAGAUUUUAACUCCUUCCAUCAAAACUUCUCCAAUAGCCUUAUGUUUUCCAGAUAUUUCUUGGAAUCUUUUACGUGCUGCUUGCUGACUCUAUUCCCAGUCUUCUUGUUAUUGUGGGGUUAUACCUUUUUAUAUAUUUACUUCUUUUGGAAGGGGGACUCCCCCAGACUCCUGUGAAUUGUCACCUUUAUGGAAUAAGCCCCCUUUCUCUCUUUUGAAAAUGUUUUAGCAGUAUUGUUCUUGUUUCCAUGACUGUGCCUAUGUUCUUCCAGCAUUCCUCUAUUUCUACUCCAUGCCUACACCUAAAAAUAGGGCUUGAUAGUAUCUGGACUAUCAACAAAAUGUCCAAUAGAAAUGAAUUCAAAAUCAGAGUAAGUAUGCUCUUCAAGGAGGACUUGUUUAUGGCAUUUGGUUUAGCUACUCAAACAAUGGGAGUUCCCGUAGACACAGCAGAAAUGAAGCCGACUAGGAACCGUGAGAUUGCAGGUUCGACCCCUGGCCUCACUCAGUGGGUUAGGGAUCUGGUGUUGCCAUGAGCUGUGGUGUAGGCUGCAAAGGUGGCUCAGAUCCCACGUUGCUGUGGCUGUGGUGUAGGCUGGUGGCUACAGCUCCGAUUAGACCCCUAGCCUGAGAACCUCCAUAUGCUGUGGGUGCGGCCCUGAAAAGCCAAAAAAAGAAAAAA